GUUAUUUCUGAGAUAUAAAUUUUAAAGUAAUAACUAGAAUUAUGACUUAUAACAUUAUACCAGAGCAUAUAAGAUUUUUAGAAAUUUCAUGUAAGCAAAUUUGCUUUCUAAGAAAAAACUCAGCAAUGUAUUAUGGACAUUUCCCCCAUCAAUUUACACAGUGCUUUCCCCUUUCUAUGCCAGUAUGGUACUCCAUAAUAUGCUGCUAUAAUUUUUUUAACCAAUUCCCAUGAUGAUUAGCAUGAAGGUGUCUCUGCUGUGUUUUGCUGUGACAAAUAAUGCCAUAAUUUCUUGGUGGAUUUGUCUGGGGAGUGGGGCAGAAAGUGGAAGGAAAGGGAGUAGUAAUCUGGAGGAUGUCGAAGAGCUGCAAGCCUAGUUUUGGAUGUGAUGGUUAGCACCUCCAGAGUGCAACUGGAUGCCUUGGAAAUGGGGUGAGAGUGAAGGAGGGAGGAAGUGGAGAGGGCAGCAGAGGAGGUGGGACAAUGCCUGGACCCAUGGGCAAGCUCACCCACCCACCCUCUCACUCAUUUUUAGGCAACCAGUAAUUUCUAUCAGUUACCAACAUGGUAUUAGAGAGGCCCAUGUUAACUUAUCUUUUCCCAACCUAAUGCCUUACCAACUAGCUCUUCUAUGCCUUAGUUUGGAAAGGUAGGCUAAGACCAAUCCAUGGAGGGCCUUUACUUCUGCACCAAGGGGUCUACAGCAAUCGGGGGGCUGUAAGUGGACUUACAGUUCUUCAGUUCUCAGGUCAGAAGUUGACUUUGCAAAUACCGAAGUGUUCUUAAGAGAUAAACAGCACAAUUAAAGAACAGCCAGCCUUGGGAAAGAACACAAUAUAUGACCUGUCUGGUUGUGCUUCAACUCAGUUGUUUAUCUCCCAGGGGUAGCCCCAUUCUAUUCAUUUAAUUCCACAUUCUUUGUACUCUUUAACUGUCCAUCACUAUGUCCCCAUAGCAGCUUCCCUCCUUAUAGCCCUGCUGGUUCCUUCUUUUCUUGUCUUCCUUUCUUCCUUCCUUCCUUUCUUUUUCUUUCUUUCUUUCUUUUUACCAUCGGUGGAUUCAUAAUAAUUAUAACACAUAUGAUCUGUAUAUACUAAACUACAUGUCUAACCGCAAUCUAACACCAGUUCCCAAAUAACAAAAUGCUGCAAAUUCUAAAUUUUGUAGAGUAUUACUGGAGCCUUUAAUUUAAUUAAUUCAAUCUUCUGUGCAGGAAUGACCACAUAGGAGGGCUUUCAUUCCCCUUCCUUCUAUUGUUGUUCACCUUUUGGUUAAAGCAUGGCUCUGCUUCCCAAACCUCCUCCAACCUGCACUCUGUUCUUGGGUUCCCCCUUGGGCAACCUGCCAUGAGGCUUCUGGUUGACCUGGGGUUUCGCAGGCUAUGUUACUCAGUCUUUGUUCUUAGGACCAAGUAAAGGCAACUCUCUUUGCUGUUUCACACAGGCUGCUAUUUGCUGAAAAGCCUGAGCCCACGGAGAAGCCCUUUAAGGCUUGGAAGAAGGUGCUGUCAUCAUUCAGUACCUUGUUUCUGGCAUCAGUCUCUUACGUCUCUCCCCCUGCCAACCUUUUCCAAUGCCUCUCUGCAGACCUGUCUCCCUCCCUGCCAGAGCUUUCAGCUUUCAUUUCCCCAGGAAAUGAUUUUCUCAGUCUCUCCACAAAAGCCCAGGAGGAAAGGAACUGGCCUUUCGUUCAUAAUGGGCCACAGUGUGAUGAAGGAGUAAAAGUUGUCUGGUGUUGAUAUAAAUGCAUCUUCCCACAAAAAACAGCCACUGCUGUCACUGGAGCUGGGAGAAAGCUUACUUUGUUUGGAACAAUCAAUGAUAGGGUUAGCAGAAUGUCAGCACGUCAAGGAGUGACUUAGAGUAUCUAACCAGAUGAGGAAAUGAAGAUCCAUUUAUUUUAGUCAUGGUGUGUAUGAAUGGGUAUGUGUGCGUGUGUGUGUGUGUGUGUGUGUGAGAGAGAGAGAGAGAGAGAGACAGAGACAGAGACAGAGAUUUCUUUCCUUUGUAAAGGAGCUAGUUUCUGAAAUGGGGAUGGCUGGUCUCCAAGGGGAUAAUUAGGAUUUUAACAGCUUACUGUGAGUGGAGCAUUUCAUUUCUCUAAGUACUGAGAAGUGCAGGCUAAUAGUUAUCCCAGCCAUUAGUUAUUCUGCCAAAGAUUUCUAUCAGACUUAGACAUUCAGAUAGAUGUUCGAACCAGCACUACGGUCAGCAGAGACCUGUAAAGACUUUUCUGGAGGAAAUCAAUCUGUACCCAAUGCAUUAUCCAGGCAUGUUUGUUUUUCCGAUUCAUAAGUCAUUUUGUUGUCAGAGUAGCCUUUUUAUUCCUCUUAACUUUAUAUUGAAUUCUUCAAGGCAGGUGUUCCAAAUCCUUUUCAUUUUUCUCAAAGAACUUCUGACCUCCCCCACCCCCAUAGAUGACCUCCACACCUAGUUUACUGAGGGGGUCAAGGCUUCAGCUCUCCUCUCCACUCUCUCAAUUUGAUCUGCAUUGUCAUCCAUCCUUUGCUUUUUUCCUUCAUUCUUUCUACAUAUUCUCAGAGAAGCCACAUCUUAUUUUUGUUCCCAAAGCUAACCUUUUCUGGAGUUCUUGAUUUUACCAGUAACUCCCCAUCUCCACCUCCAUCAACCAUUAUCUCCCUAUUUCUGGCAUCUUCAAGAUCCUGUUCUCUUCUAGCUCAUUGAAAACAUACCCCGAUGUCUUGACUGCAAAAACCUAUAGCAUGACUAUGCUUCCCUAUCAGAAUCCAGGCUCUAGUCAAUUUAUCUGGAACCACAAUUUCUAUUAAAACUGGCCUAUCGUAAGUCAUCAAUAGACAGCACAUCCAAUGACCUCAGUCCUUGACACUCCUGACUAUGAGCCAUGCUUAGAAAAGGGGAACAGUGAAGAUUUGAGAGUGAGAGGCACAUAAAUGAGAUUCCGGAAGGGAAGGGCUGUUUUGCAAGCAGUCAUUGAAGAGGUAAAGCUGAGUCGAACACACCAGGCCCUUGGGCUUUGUUCUUUUUGUGGGGUCAGAGGGGGCCGAGUUGGCUCCCAGGCCCUACUGUCAGAGCCAGACAGAAGGUCCUGUCCAUCCUGGUGGGCUUGGGUUCAGCACUGCUUGAGCAGAGGAAUGGCCAUGUGGCUUUUGCUUUGGGGAUUUGAACAGACAUCCCAGAGCCCACAGGAAGGUUUCCCCUUACUUUAUGGACUUAGGCAUAUUGCUAAUGCUCACUCCAAGUGAGCUUUAUCUAAUCUAAAGAACCCAAGUUACUCCAAAUCCAACACUAUAUCCAGGAGUGGAAGACAACUUAGAUGUUCUCUCUUUCUUCGGAUUCUUACCACGGUUUCCAUAACACCAUGCUCUUCAUGCCUCUCGCCUUUCUCUCCCACUGGCUCAUCAGUUGCAUGUGCUGUAAAAGUCAAAACACUUUAGGCUCCCACAAGUUGAAAUGGCAGAGCCACAGGAUGGAAAUAAGUUGGCCCCUGGAGUCACUUCACGAAGGAUAGAUGCCUGGAAGAAUCACUCUACUCCUGUUGGAUUUUGUGUGAACAAGAAAUAAAUCUUCUGUUAUAUUAAGCCACUGAGCUGUUGGGGUUUACCUAUGACUGUAGCCUGGUCUAUGUAGCUACAAGAGCUUAAAUGCCUGCAGGUGCCUGACCAGGAGGCAACUGAAAUGAAUGAAGUAGCUGAGAGCCUAACAGAGAGCAGGGACUCGGGUGGGGAGGGGACUACCCUGACUCUGGGACUAAGCUUGCCCCAUUACAGGGGAAGAGCUGCUGCUCAGAUCUAGCUCAUUCUCUUAUGGGAUACUUUGGAGCCAGCAUUGCCAGAUCCUAACUGAAUAUUUUCUCAAGAAAAGCUGGGAAUCUGGAUGUUGAUGUGAAAUCUCCCAACUUUUUUUCUUUUUUUUGCGGUACGCGGGCCUCUCACUGUUGUGGCCUCUCCCGUUGCGGAGCACAGGCUCCGGACACGCAGGCUGGGUGGCCGUGGCUCACGGGCCCAGCCGCUCCACGGCAUGUGGGAUCUUCCCAGACCGGGACACGAACCCGCGUCCCCUGCAUUGGCAGGCGGACUCUCAACCACUGCGCCACCAGGGAAGCCCCAAAAUCUCCCAACUUUUUAAAUGCUGGCAGUUCAUACAGAUUAAAAAACCAAAACACAGACAUCUUUGCUGUUUCCUAAAUGUCUUAGUUCCCAAGUCCAGCCAUGCUACAAAUACCUGCUGAAGCCCCUCUGAAUGGAACAGGCUUGCGCAAAGCCCACCUCCCAAGAGGGCUGGAGGGAGUGGAGCUCUCAUGGCAAAUGUGAAAAAGGAUUGUCUUCCUAUUACUGGAGGAUUUCCCCCAGUGUUUCCUCAAUAAUUUUAGCUGCAGCAUUCAAUUAAAGCCUCCUGCAAAAAUGACUCCUCCACAUUUGCUGGGCCCUUCCUGUUCCAUCUCCGAGUGGCAAGCAGGACCAGUGUGAUCAAAAAGGAGAAGGCUGGGCUUCCCUGGUGGCACAGUGGUUGAGAGUCCGCCUGCCGAUGCACGGGACGCGGUUCGUGCCCUGGUCCGGGAAGAUCCCACAUGCCGUGG